UACGUAGGGACCGAGCGUUGUCCGGAAUCAUUGGGCGUAAAGAGCGUGUAGGCGGCCAUUUAAGUCCUGCGUGAAAUCCUGCGGCUCAACCGCAGGCGGUCGUGGGAAACUGGAUGGCUAGAGUGCGGGAGAGGAGAGUGGAAUUCCUGGUGUAGCGGUGAAAUGCGCAGAUAUCAGGAAGAACACCAAUGGCGAAGGCAGCUCUCUGGGACGGUACUGACGCUGAGACGCGAAAGCGUGGGGAGCGAACAGG
rnacentral:rRNA from 1 species